rnacentral:rRNA from 1 species
CCCUGCAGCUCUCUGGUUUCCCACUGAAGCUAAGCAGGGUUGAGCUUGGUCAGUACCUGGAUGGGAGACCUCCUGGGGAAGAGUAAGGUUGCUGCUGGAG